AAUAUGUUAUGUGGGCAGCAUCUCAAAAGAUCCUUAAACCUCUCCUAUGCAUCGUACAUGCUCUCAUCAACAAACUGUACAAAAGAAUAUAUGCCAUUUCUAAGUUU
rfam:Ricinus communis cultivar Hale ctg_1100012326480, whole genome shotgun sequence.